CCUACGGGAGGCAGCAGUAGGGAAUAUUGGGCAAUGGGCGGAAGCCUGACCCAGCCAUGCCGCGUGCAGGAUGAAGGCCUUCUGGGUUGUAAACUGCUUUUAUCUGGGAAGAAAACGCCUGUGCGCAGGUGACUGACGGUACCAGAUGAAUAAGCACCGGCUAACUCCGUGCCAGCAGCCGCGGUAAUACGGAGGGUGCGAGCGUUGUCCGGAUUUAUUGGGUUUAAAGGGUGCGUAGGCGGCCCCGUAAGUCAGCGGUGAAAUCCCCCGGCUCAACCGGGGAACUGCCGUUGAUACUGCGGGGCUUGAGUACAGACGAGGUAGGCGGAAUUGACGGUGUAGCGGUGAAAUGCAUAGAUACCGUCAGGAACCCCGAUUGCGUAGGCAGCUUACUAGGCUGUUACUGACGCUGAGGCACGAAAGCGUGGGGAGCGAACAGG
rnacentral:rRNA from 1 species